rnacentral:rRNA from 1 species
UACGUAGGGUGCAAGCGUUGUCCGGAAUUAUUGGGCGUAAAGAGCUUGUAGGCGGUUUGUCGCGUCUGCUGUGAAAUUUCGGGGCUCAACCCCGAACUUGCAGUGGGUACGGGCAGACUGGAGUUCGGUAGGGGAGACUGGAAUUCCUGGUGUAGCGGUGAAAUGCGCAGAUAUCAGGAGGAACACCGGUGGCGAAGGCGGGUCUCUGGGCCGAUACUGACGCUGAGGAGCGAAAGCGUGGGGAGCGAACAGG